AACAUCGCGCACCUGCGGGAACCUGCGGAAGGAUCAUUACGAGAGUGUCACCACUCCCAACCCAUUGUUUACCUACCCGUCCACCGUGCUUCGGCAGGCAGCCCUGUGGGACAGAGCCUCGCCCCCUUUCGCGGGGGGUGCCUGCCGCUUGCCAACCAAAACUCUAGCUGUUUUAGUACCAUCUGAGUCUUCCACAAAUGAACAAAACUUUUAACAAUGGAUCUCAGAUCGGAAGAGCAC
rnacentral:misc_RNA from 1 species